UACGUAGGGUGCAAGCGUUGUCCGGAAUUAUUGGGCGUAAAGAGCUCGUAGGCGGUUUGUCGCGUCUGCUGUGAAAACUCGGGGCUUAACUCCGGGCCUGCAGUGGGUACGGGCAGACUAGAGUGCGGUAGGGGAGACUGGAAUUCCUGGUGUAGCGGUGAAAUGCGCAGAUAUCAGGAGGAACACCGGUGGCGAAGGCGGUUCUCUGGGCAUGUCCUGACGUGAGGAGCGAAAGUGUGGGGAGCGAACAGG
rnacentral:rRNA from 1 species